rnacentral:rRNA from 1 species
CACGUAGGGCGCAAGCGUUGUCCGGAAUUAUUGGGCGUAAAGAGCUCGUAGGCGGUCUGUUGCGUCCGCUGUGAAAACUCGGGGCUUAACCCCGAGCCUGCAGUGGAUACGGGCAGACUAGAGGUAGGUAGGGGAGAAUGGAAUUCCCGGUGUAGCGGUGAAAUGCGCAGAUAUCGGGAGGAACACCGGUGGCGAAGGCGGUUCUCUGGGCCGGUACUGACGCUGAGGAGCGAAAGCGUGGGGAGCGAACAGG